GUUUAGUGUUUUACGUAUUGUAGAUUCGCUAACAGGGAUGUUAGCAUUUGCCAGUGACUUUUGUAAGUCUUUAGCUGACACUCUAGGAUUCUUCUUCACCUCAUAGAGCAGUCUGCGCUGUGCUUUUGCAGUCAUCUUUACAGGACGGCCACUCCUAGGGAGAGUAGCAGCAGUGCUGAACUUUCUCCAUUUAUAGACAAUUUGUCUUACCGUGUACUGAUGAACAGCAAGGCUUUUGGAGAUACUUUUAUAACCCUUUCCAGCUUUAUGCAAGUCAA
rnacentral:lncRNA from 1 species